rnacentral:rRNA from 1 species
UAAUACGUAGGGGGCAAGCGUUAUCCGGAAUCACUGGGCGUAAAGGGUGCGUAGGCGGCUAAUCAAGCCAGGGGUGAAAGGCUACGGCUUAACCGUAGUAAGCCUUUGGAACUGAAUAGCUUGAGUGCAGGAGAGGAGAGUGGAAUUCCUAGUGUAGCGGUGAAAUGCGUAGAUAUUAGGAGGAACACCAGUGGCGAAGGCGACUCUCUGGACUGUAACUGACGCUGAGGCACGAAAGCGUGGGGAGCAAACAGGAUUAGAUACCCUGGUAGUCCACGCCGUAAACGAUGAGUGCUAGGUGUCGGGGGUUCACACCCUCGGUGCCGGAGUUAACGCAAUAAGCACUCCGCCUGGGGAGUACGGUCGCAAGACUG